rnacentral:rRNA from 1 species
GGUCAAGCAUUUAAGUGCAUCUGGUGGAUGCCUAGGCAGCUGAAGGCGAUGAAGGACGUCGUAGCCUGCGAUAAGCCUCGGGGAGUCGGCUAACAGACUUUGAUCCGAGGAUUUCCGAAUGGGGAAACCCACCACUUUCGAGUGGUAUCCAUACCUGAAUUCAUAGGGUAUGGAGGCGAACCCGGGGAACUGAAAUAUCUAAGUACCCGGAGGAAUAGAAAUCAACCGAGAUUCCCUUAGUAGCGACGAGCGAACGGGGACCAGCCCUUAAGCAUUUGGUUUGUUAGUGGAAGCUUCUGGAAAGACGCGCGAUACAGGGUGAUAGCCCCGUACACGAAAACAGGCCGUUUGUGAAAUCGAGUAGGACGGGGCACGUGAAACCUUGUCUGAACAUGGGGGGACCAUCCUCCAAGGCUAAAUACUCUCAGCUGACCGAUAGUGAACUAGUACCGUGAGGGAAAGGCGAAAAGAACCCCUGUGAGGGGAGUGAAAUAGAACCUGAAACCAGAUGCAUACAAGCAGUGGGAGCAAGCGGUACACCUUCGGGUGUGCGUAAGCUUGUGACUGCGUACCUUUUGUAUAAUGGGUCAGCGAGUUACUUUUACUGGCAAGGUUAACCGUAUAGGGGAGCCGUAGGGAAACCGAGUCUUAAUAGGGCGACCUCUUGUCUUCGGAUGAGGAAAGUCUGUAGGAGUAGACCCGAAACCGGGCGAUCUAGCCAUGGGCAGGUUGAAGGUUGAGUAACAUCAACUGGAGGACCGAACCCACUAAUGUUGAAAAAUUAGGGGAUGACCUGUGGCUCGGAGUGAAAGGCUAAUCAAGCCCGGAGAUAGCUGGUUCUCCUCGAAAUCUAUUUAGGUAGAGCCUCUCGUAUCACCAUCGGGGGUAGAGCACUGUUUGGGCUAGGGGGUCACCUAGACUUACCAACCCCAUGCAAACUCCGAAUACCGAUGAGUGCAGCGAGGGAGACACACGGCGGGUGCUAACGUCCGUCGUGGAAAGGGAAACAACCCAGACCGCCAGCUAAGGUCCCUAAAUCACAGUUAAGUGGGAAACGAUGUGGGAAGGCCCAGACAGCCAGGAGGUUGGCUUAGAAGCAGCCACCCUUUAAAGAAAGCGUAAUAGCUCACUGGUCGAGUCGGCCUGCGCGGAAGAUGUAACGGGGCUCAAACUGUGUACCGAAGCUGCGGGUGUCAACGGUUCGCCAUUGGCACGGUAGAGGAGCGUUCUGUAAGCCUGUGAAGGUCCACCGGGAGGUCGGGCUGGAGGUAUCAGAAGUGCGAAUGCUGACAUGAGUAACGAUAAAGGAGGUGAAAAUCCUCCUCGCCGAAAGACCAAGGGUUCCUGCGCAACGCUCAUCGGCGCAGGGUGAGUCGGCCCCUAAGGCGAGGCCGAAAGGCGUAGUCGAUGGGAAGCUGGUUAAUAUUCCAGCACCGAUCCUAGCUGCGACGGGGUGACGGAGAAGGCUAGACUGGCCUGGCGAUGGUUGUCCAGGUUUAAGCGUGUAGGUCGAAAGUUUAGGUAAAUCCGGACUUUCCUCUUCAUUGAGAAGGCUGAGACGUGAUGACGAACUACUCUUAUACGAGUGGGAAGUGGUUGAAGCCAUGCUUCCAAGAAAAACCUCUAAGCUUCAGGCUAUGAACGACCGUACCCCAAACCGACACAGGUGGUCGGGUAGAGAAUACCAAGGCGCUUGAGAGAACUCGGGUGAAGGAACUAGGCAAAAUGGCACCGUAACUUCGGGAGAAGGUGCGCCGCUGAUGGUGAUCGGACUUGCUCCGUAAGCUGUUGGCGGUCGAAGAUACUAGGUGGCUGCGACUGUUUACUAAAAACACAGCACUCUGCAAACUCGUAAGAGGACGUAUAGGGUGUGACGCCUGCCCGGUGCCGGAAGGUUAAUUGAUGGGGUUAGUCCUCGGACGAAGCUCUUGAUCGAAGCCCCGGUGAAGGGUAUAGGAAGGAUAAACACCCUUUUCACCCAAGUGCAACAGCCGCUGACGGCUGUUGCAUCGCCCGGCAACCAU